GACAUAGGAUUGAUUCCAGUGUACGAACAUGGUCAAUACAAAGUUUUUCUAGACUUGGUUUCAAUUUCCAUAAUAACCUUGUUUUAAAAUAAAUAUUGUUUGUUUCAAACUAAGAAACCAGUUUUCUUCUAACAGACAUUAGUUUGAUUCAAACAAAAUUCAGUUCGAUACCAGCAAUACAAUCAUAAAUAAUUUAAAUUGUAGUUUUGGGUUGAAUCAACGUAAUGAUUGGUUAAAACAAACUAAUUUUUUAUUUGUACGUAUACCAACCUUAGAACUAGCUUAAAACAAACCUAAAAAAUAGUUUGUUUGUACCUGCUGUCAGUUAACAUGCAGCUUCGCGCUUCACGUUCUCCAACAUUGUGUUGAUUACAAUCGUUAACGUAAUUACAGUUUUUAUAUCCGCGAGUUAAUUUUUCUAAAUUUUGGUCGGCAGAAUAGUUCCGAACUGGUGCAAAAGGACUCAAGAGCGCGGAAAUCAAGUGCCCGGUAAAACUUAUCGACACCAUCAGACGGAUACUUAUGUCUUCAGUUUUUCUCGGUUUUGUUAUCAAGCCAGAACACCGAAACGGGAUACGCUUGCAUGGAUGACUGCAUAAAUGAUGAGGUUUGUGCUGUCUGGCCGGUCGAGUAGUGAAGGCAGCGUAUAUACGAUUGCGUGCGGUGAUUCCAGUUUGAUGUUGCCGAAGUCAAGAUGAAUACGUAAGAACCAUGGUCAAAGUAACUUAGGUUUCGA